GGGUCUGUAGCUCAGUUGGUUAGAGUGCGCGCCUGAUAAGUGCGAGGUCGGUGGUUCAAGUCCACCCAGGCCUACCA
rnacentral:tRNA from 1 species